GCUGUUGAGUUUGACUGUCCCUCCUUGCCCACCCCAAACUCCAGAACUUGGGGUGCUGACAUAGCUGUGGGAUAAGGCAGGACCAUGGGGAUGUGCACAGCUGUGCUGGGACGGUUGGGACGCAUGCAUGGGAGGUUGGGAAAGCACCAUGUAUACCUGUGUGCUAGGGAGGCUCAGGCUACUGGGACCUGUCCCAUCCCUGUCCCCUGUGAGGUAUAUGGUCAUCCUGGAGGUCUGUGUCGGCCAAUAUUGGCCUCUAUCUAAGCCGUUGAUGCCAAUCAGGCAGAAGUAGCCUGUGUGAAUGUGUGCGCAUGCGUAUGCACAUAUAUGCAUACAUGGGCCAGAGAGAACGGCAGGCCUUUAUCAGCUCAUUGAUCUACACCCAGCUUUCUCCGUGGGUGCAGGGGGAUUUCUCUCAGGUCCUAACGUCCCCACAGCACGUGUUCUUGCCCACUACUCCAUCUUACCAGCCACUGGCAAAGAUCGUGAUCGAGUGGGCCUGGAUGGAUUCUACACAGACCCGGCAUUUUCCAGUGCAGCGCCUCAAAGCUUUUGUGUGUAUUUUCUGUAUUUUGAGACAGGGUCUCUCUCUAUAAGCCCUGGCUGUCCUGGACACCAUAUGACCACCAGCCUCAGACUCAAGAGAGCUGCCUGUCUCUACCACCCGAGGGCUGCGAUUAAAGGCACUCAGGAUUGGCUAAGAAA
rnacentral:lncRNA from 1 species